rnacentral:misc_RNA from 1 species
GAGAACCAAGAGAUCCGUUGUUGAAAGUUUUGACUAUUAAGUAAUAAUCUGGUGUGACAAGUUAAUAAAAAAUUGGUUGUAAGUUUAGACCUCUGGCGGCAGGCUGGGCCCACCGCCAAAGCAAGUUUGUUUCAAAGAAAAACACAUGUGGUGCAAUUAAGCAAAUCAGUAAUGAUCCUU